GAUGAACGCUGACAGAAUGCUUAACACAUGCAAGUCUUUGGCGAAUCUGUGCUUGCACAGGCUAGCCAAGGCGGACGGGUGAGUAACGCGUAAAGAACUUGCCCUGCAGACAGGGAUAACAGACGGAAACGACUGAUAACACCUGAUACAGUUGCCGGCACGCAUGUGCCUGGCAAUGAAAAGAGAUGCUGCAGGAGAGCUUUGCGUCCUAUUAGCUUGUUGGUGAGGUGACGGCUCACCAAGGCGAUGAUAGGUAGCCGGCCUGAGAGGGUGAACGGCCACAAGGGGACUGAGAUACGGACCUUACUCCUACGGGAGGCAGCAGUGGGGAAUAUUGGACAAUGGGGGCAACCAUGAUCCAGCAAUGCUGUGUGCACGAAGAAGGUUUUCGGAUUGUAAAGUGCUUUCAGCAGGGAAGAAGAAAGGGACGGUACCGGCAGAAGAAGCGACGGCUAAAUACGU
rnacentral:rRNA from 1 species